rnacentral:rRNA from 1 species
GACGAACCGAGCGAACGUUGUUCGGAAUCACUGGGCUUAAAGGGCGCGUAGGCGGAUUUGCAAGUCCGUGGUGAAAUCCCACAGCUCAACUGUGGAACUGCCUCGGAUACUGUGAGUCUCGAGGGUGGUAGGGGUAUGCGGAACUAUCGGUGGAGCGGUGAAAUGCGUUGAUAUCGAUAGGAACUCCGGUGGCGAAGGCGGCAUACUGGACCACAUCUGACGCUGAGGCGCGAAAGCCAGGGGAGCAAACGGG